rnacentral:misc_RNA from 1 species
UAUUCGGUGCGUACCACUUGACCACUCUCAGCCUUCCUCCGGCCGUUAUUGCGGUGGUAACGCACAGCUAGCAAGAGACAGCAGCAGCGCGUCAGAGAGAGGGAGAGAGGUCUGCAGGCUGACCGAACUCCUGCGCGUGCUUUUCUGCAGCUGGAGUUCCGCACGAGUGCACUCAGCUCCCCACAUCUCCGUCCCUCACGAACAGAGCUAUGCAUGCACUCAAGCACAGCACGUAACCACCCGCUCGCAACUCUCGGGGCCUUUGCCUCUUACCCUCUCCUUCGAGCCCUCCUGCACGGGGCAAUGCCGCUAAAAAAGAAGGAGGAGGUGUGCGGGAAGCCAAACCAGUACAACCUGAACACCCUCGAGUAUGACUGGAGAGAGCUGCCCGACACCCACAUCCAGGUGCCGCCGCCGCAGCCCUGCGUGCGAGACUACUCCGCCCUUGCUGGCUAUGGCGCAGCCGGCAACAGAGUAAAUCCCAUCACACACCAGCCGCUGCCGUCCCAUGGCGCCAGGUUUGGCGGCGUCGGCGCGGUUUCGCCAACGCCGUUGCCAUCGCCGUCGAGACCAGUUCAAGAAGCGAUGCGGCGCGCGCCGUCGCCGCAGGCUCAUCAUGACAACCGAGAUCACGUGGCGGAUCUGUUCGGUGACGGUGACGGUGGCGCUGGGCAAAGACCUGAGCGCGAGCCUCAGCGAAGAGCGCUGCCGCCGCCACUCGUAGCGGGGGAGUCGCCGCAAGCCCUGCCGUAUCCCUCUUCCGGCGUGAACGGUCGAGGCGAUGCAGUACACGGCAACGCCGCUGCAUCGCCAUCGGGGCCGUACGGCGCCGAUGCUUUUAACGUCGUGUGGUCGCACGAGGACAUCAAGCGGGCUGUGCACACAAACAGCUUAGAGGCUCACCGUUCCUACCUGCGAUAGCACCCCGCUGCUCUGCUGCACCCUCACUCAAUGCAGGCGCACAUGUGCAUGUGAACAUUGGCUGCUGCACAGUGGAAGUCCCUCUGACCGACCCCACGCAACGCGGAAUACCAACUACAAGCAACGGCAGCGACUGAGCGCGCUUCCGGCGCUGCCGCCUUCCUUCCUGCGCUCUCUCCGUGGGCAGCCGAUAAGCAGCUACCGCAAAUCACGACAGGAGGUGAUAGUGGCUGCGCACCACCUCGGCUACUUGUAGACUGAGCCUGUGACCUUCAAAAGAAAAAGAGAGCCGCGAGAGGCCUACGAACGGCUUUGCAAGCUCAUGUGCAAGCGCAUAUGAGGGCAAGAGGCAUCGCGAUUCCGCACCGCUAAUGUUUUGAUCCUCUCCCUCCACGUACGCAUCUCUGAACGAGGAUUUACUUACCAGAUGCUCUGCUGGCCCUAUCUGUGCCAAUACCGAGCCACUUCUCUUGAUGACAGGGUGAAGUGGCGACGGCGUACGGGGAGGGGGAGCUCCGUGCGCGGUGUCGCUGCCGCUGUCCGGUCGCGGGUGGCGUUGUGCGUCGCGGCGACCGGCGACAGUGUGAGCACGUGUGUGCCAUUUGUAUGUGGUGUGCAAGUCCGCCAUGCGCCUCGAGCGUAUCCCACCCGGCCGCCACACUGCCUACUGUUGGUGUGUGUGUGGGGGGGGGCGAGUGGCGCUGGAGCCAUGCCGCCGUGGCAGCUAGAUGGGCGCGAUUUAAAGGGGCGCAAGAUGCUCUCCUGCUGUCUUCGCACUGCGUCGCUGCCGUAAUCAACGCGCCGCGCAUCGCUUCACUUUCUCUGCUGCUGCAUUUGUCCCGUCGUCCUCUUUCUGUUACACCACACACACACACACACGCCUGCACACGCGGCGCGUGGCACGUUGACAUUAUCGCCCCCCCCCCCCUCCCCAUCGCAUCCAUCAUCACCAUCAUUGUUGUAAUCUCUCUUGCCUUACGCAUUGUUCCGUGUCUGCGCGCUCCGCAG